rnacentral:tRNA from 1 species
CGGACGUAGCCAAGUGGAU